rnacentral:miRNA from 1 species
GCCUGGAGCUACUCCACCAUCUC